rnacentral:rRNA from 1 species
GACGAACGCUGGCGGCGUGCUUAACACAUGCAAGUCGAACGGAAAGGCCCUGCUUUUGUGGGGUGCUCGAGUGGCGAACGGGUGAGUAACACGUGAGUAACCUGCCCUUGACUUUGGGAUAACUUCAGGAAACUGGGGCUAAUACCGGAUAGGAGCUCCUGCUGCAUGGUGGGGGUUGGAAAGUUUCGGCGGUUGGGGAUGGACUCGCGGCUUAUCAGCUUGUUGGUGGGGUAGUGGCUUACAAAGGCUUUGACGGGUAGCCGGCCUGAGAGGGUGACCGGCCACAUUGGGACUGAGGUACGGCCCAGACUCCUACGGGAGGCAGCAGUGGGGAAUAGUGCACAAUGGGCGGAAGCCUGAUGCAGCAACGCCGCGUGCGGGAUGACGGCCUUCGGGUUGUAAACCGCUUUCGCCUGUGACGAAGCGUGAGUGACGGUAAUGGGUAAAGAAGCACCGGCUAACUACGUG